rnacentral:tRNA from 1 species
UCCCUGGAGGACUAUUGGUUAGGCCACAGCACUCUCACCAGUGCAGCUGGGGUUCGAGUCCCGGCCAGGGAA